AUACGUGGUACCUAUAAGGAUAUCUUAUGGUAAAGUGAUAGCGAAUAUCUGCUAAAUAUUGAAAUCUUAACACCACUUGGCCCAACAAAUCACUUUACUUUAAUCACCCAGCAAAUAGAUGGCAAACAGGUGUGUUUAGUACAUUUAUUCAAAUAUUAAUAUGUUGUUUCCUUCAAAGUACAACUCAAAUUAGUUUCAGGAUAAACUAGUCCUUUUUUGAUGCCAAGGUGCUUUGUUGGUUAAUACCAAGGUGCUUUGUUGGUUAACACCAAGGUGCUUUGUUGGUUAACACCAAGGUGCUUUGUUGGUUAACACCAAGGUGCUUUGUUGGUUAAUACCAAGGUGCUUUGUUGGUUAACACCAAGGUGCUUUGUUGGUUAAUACCAAGGUGCUUUGUUGGUUAAUACCAAGGUGCUUUGUUGGUUAAUACCAAGGUGCUUUGUUGGUUAAUACCAAGGUGCUUUGUUGGUUAAUACCAAGGUGCUUUGUUGGUUAAUACCAAGGUGCUUUGUUGGUUAAUACCAAGGUGCUUUGUUGGUUAAUACCAAGGUGCUUUGUUGGUUAAUACCAAGGUGCUUUGUUGGUUAAUACCAAGGUGCUUUGUUGGUUAAUACCAAGGUGCUUUGUUGGUUAAUACCAAGGUGCUUUGUUGGUUAACACCAAGGUGCUUUGUUGGUUAAUACCAAGGUGCUUUGUUGGUUAACACCAAGGUGCUUUGUUGGUUAAUACCAAGGUGCUUUGUUGGUUAAUACCAAGGUGCUUUGUUGGUUAAUACCCAGGUGCUUUGUUGGUUAAUACCAAGGUGCUUUGUUGGUUAAUACCAAGGUGCUUUGUUGGGUGAUAUCAAGGUGCUUUGUUGGUUUGUUGGUUAAUACCAAGGUGCUUUGUUGGUUAAUACCCAGGUGCUUUGUUGGUUAAUACCAAGGUGCUUUGUUGGUUAAUACCAAGGUGCUUUGUUGGUUAAUACCAAGGUGCUUUGUUGGUUAAUACCAAGGUGCUUUGUUGGUUAAUACCAAGGUGCUUUGUUGGUUAAUACCAAGGUGCUUUGUUGGUUAAUACCAAGGUGCUUUGUUGGUUAAUACCAAGGUGCUUUGUUGGUUAACACCAAGGUGCUUUGUUGGUUAAUACCAAGGUGCUUUGUUGGUUAAUACCAAGGUGCUUUGUUGGUUAACACCAAGGUGCUUUGUUGGUUAACACCAAGGUGCUUUGUUGGUUAACACCAAGGUGCUUUGUUGGUUAAUACCAAGGUGCUUUGUUGGUUAACACCAAGGUGCUUUGUUGGUUAACACCAAGGUGCUUUGUUGGUUAACACCAAGGUGCUUUGUUGGUUAACACCAAGGUGCUUUGUUGGUUAACACCAAGGUGCUUUGUUGGUUAAUACCAAGGUGCUUUGUUGGUUAAUACCAAGGUGCUUUGUUGGUUAACACCAAGGUGCUUUGUUGGUUAACACCAAGGUGCUUUGUUGGUUAACACCAAGGUGCUUUGUUGGUUAAUACCAAGGUGCUUUGUUGGUUAACACCAAGGUGCUUUGUUGGUUAAUACCAAGGUGCUUUGUUGGUUAAUACCAAGGUGCUUUGUUGGUUAACACCAAGGUGCUUUGUUGGUUAAUACCAAGGUGCUUUGUUGGUUAAUACCAAGGUGCUUUGUUGGUUAAUACCAAGGUGCUUUGUUGGUUAAUACCAAGGUGCUUUGUUGGUUAAUACCAAGGUGCUUUGUUGGUUAAUACCAAGGUGCUUUGUUGGUUAAUACCAAGGUGCUUUGUUGGUUAAUACCAAGGUGCUUUGUUGGGUGAAACCAAGGUGCUUUGUUGGUUAAUACCAAGGUGCUUUGUUGGUUAAUA